AUUAUUCACACUUUGGCCUUCCAUCUUGUUAAGUUUCAUAUGGUUGGUUGACAGGAGCCUAUUAUAAAGGCUAAAGGACUCUGAGAGGCAUUACCCAGCAGCUGACUGAAACAGAUGUAGAUACCCACAACCAAACAUUGGACAGAGAGGGAUACAAUAUCCACAGGAAGACCAACAGAGUCAACUAACCUGGUCCUUUGGCAGAUCUCAGAGAGUGACCCCCAACUGGAGAGCAUUAUACAUGCGCUGGACCAAGGCUCCCGGCACCUAGGACUGCCUGGCUGGCUACAGUGGUAGAAGAUUCACUGACCUUGCAGAGUCUUCAUGUGCCAAGGGACAAAGAGUGGAGCAGAGACUGAAGG